CACGGGGGGAGCAAGCGUUGUUCGGAAUCACUGGGCGUAAAGGGCGUGUAGGCGGGUCUUUAAGUCAGGGGUGAAAUCCUGGAGCUCAACUACAGAACUGCCUUUGAUAAUGAGGAUCUUGAGUAUGGGAGAGGUGAGUGGAACUGCGAGUGUAGAGGUGAAAUUCGUAGAUAUUCGCAAGAACACCAGUGGCGAAGGCGGCUCACUGGCCCGGUACUGACGCUGAGGUGCGAAAGCGUGGGGAGCAAACAGG
rnacentral:rRNA from 1 species